rnacentral:rRNA from 1 species
GUGCCAGCAGCCGCGGUAAAACGUAGGGGACAAGCGUUAUCCGGAUUUACUGGGCGUAAAGCGCCCGUAGGCGGUUCGAAAAGUUGGACGUGAAAGCUCCCGGCUUAACUGGGAGAGGCCGUUCAAAACUUUGGGACUAGAGUAAGGCAGAGGAGCGCGGAAUUCCCGGUGUAGUGGUGGAAUGCGUAGAUAUCGGGAGGAACACCAGUGGCGAAAGCGGCGCUCUGGGCCUAAACUGACGCUGAGGGGCGAAAGCGUGGGGAGCGAACGGGAUUAGAAACCCCGGUAGUCC